UGAAGCAGCAAAUGAUUCAGAUAUUAAGAUUAACAUCAAGAUUUUUUUUAGACUAAAAUUAGAGUGCAAAGGCAUCACAUGGUGGAUAUGACAUUCCAACUAUGUUGGCACCCAUAACCACCACCUAUCAUUUGCAGUUGCAGCACCCUAAUAAAUAUUAUUAAAUAAAUAAGCAUAAAGAGACUUGGGGGACUAGAUCAAAACCCAAUGAUACAAUACAAAACAUCGACAACAUUUGCCUCAUUAAAAACCCUACCAGGAAAACCCCAAAAGGAUAAAACCUCAAAAGGAAAAAAAGAGUGCAGAGAAAAAUGACAAGAUGAGAGAAAGUCAAUGCCAAAGGACACAAAUAGACAAUACCAAAAGUGGUAUCAACAAAAACGGAAGAAAGGUUGAUUGUUCUUGUUGCGGGCAAAGUCAUUAGAGAUAAAAUUAGGAACAUAAUCCCACCACACCACACCAGUGAUUUGAAAGCCAUGAUUAACCAAUUUGUCCGCACAACUGUUGCCUUCUCGAAAUAUAUGAGUGACUCAAAAGUGAAAUCCUCAAAUAAUAUCAAGGCAAUUAGACCAACGGUUUUGUAACCUCCAUGGAACCAAAGAAGGACUACUAAAAGCUUGGAUAGUCAGAGAAGAGUCACAUUCUAGCCAAAAGUUUGUCCAUCCC
rnacentral:lncRNA from 1 species